rnacentral:rRNA from 1 species
AUCUACGGCCAUACUACCCUGAAAACACCUGAUCUUGUCUGAUCUUGGAAGCUAAGCAGGGUCUGGCUAGAGUCUUGUCUAGGAUUAAAUGAUGAUAUUGGAGGAACCA